CAGAGGAAUUAAGAACACGGCCCUUCACUACAUUGUACAAGUAUUUUUUGAGAUUCCAAAUCCACUUAUCUGUAAAGUUCUUAUAAAUAGAAUGUGUUUCAACAAAUGUUGACCGUUGGGUUAGGUAUAUAAGCUAUAUGCAUAUAGCUUACUCUCCUUUGUUUUCUUUCAACAUGUAGAAGGAAAUCAUUAUGUGUUUGUUGACACAUUAAAAAAAAUAAGCUAUAUAUUAAUAGGAAGUCCCCAUGUUGCCUUUUGGUACCGUUGAUUAUUCCCUCCAUCACCUCUACUCCUCUGGCUUCUGCAGCAUCAUUAAUUUCCAGCUUCUCCUCCUCCCUCUCUUUCUCCUUUGUGGGUUCCUCAGUCUCCUGCCCCCACAUCAGUGGUAAGUGUGUCCUCAGGGAUGUGCUUCUACCCUGAAGUUCUUCUCAUUCUAAAGAACCCCCAUGGUGUCAGACUUGACCUCUGCACACAUGACACUCAGAUCGGUCUCUGGGUCAUUCCUUUCCUUUGAGCUUCAGGUUCCCUCGCUCCAGCUAGCCGAGGGGCAGCUCUGCCUAGAUGCCCCUCAGCUUUGUCAGGUUUAGAAUGUUCCGAUGUGAACUCAUCAUUUUCCUCUUGCCUGUCUUUUCUCCUGUUCGCUCUAAGUAAUCAAUAGCACCUUAUCUACUCGGUCACCUUAGUUGAAACCUGCGAGUCAUCCCCCUGACUGCUUCUUCUAGUUCAUUCUCUAUAUCUGAUUAGACUCUAGUUUUGCCAUUCUUCAUUUUCCUGCCUAUUCCAUAACUAUGUCCCUUUGUCUCCAUCAUUAUUGUAAGCACUUUAAGAGCUUACAGCCCAGUCAGACACAAACAUUUUCUAGAGUUAGUGCCCAGUAAAUGUUGAAUGACUGAGAGAGAGGUGACCUAAUUGCUGCCUCUUGAAAGGUGGGUGUCCAUGAGUAGUUAGAUUCGGAGCAGAAUUUAAAGAAGGAUAUGGUGCCGUUGUGACAUAUGGGAUGUGGGAGGCCAUAUCAGGCAUAGGGUUGGGACCUGAUUUUCCUAACUGGAGAGCCACGGGGAGAGGGGCUGGCUGGGGAUUUGGCCAGUGGAGCCCUUUGAAACCGUCAGUCAAGGAAUAGUAGGGUAUGACUUAGCAGGAAGGUGAGCUGAGUAAAUUUGUGUGGAAAUGUACAUAUUUUAAUAUCUCAGUAAGGUUACAGUCUCUGUUUCUGUUUUUCUGGGAUUAUUAGCCUUGAGAUUUCUGUGAUAUCUCAUUACUUAAUUCUUGGUUUCUUCCUGCUUCUCUUACUUCCUAAGAAAUGUGCUGCUGCUCUCCCCCCCCC